UACGUAGGUGGCGAGCGUUGUCCGGAUUUAUUGGGUUUAAAGGGUGCGUAGGCGGCCCUAUAAGUCAGUGGUGAAAUAUCGCAGCUUAACUGCCAAAGUGCUUCGAAAACUGACAGACUUGAGGGCUUCAGAGGGACACGGAAUUCCGGGUGGAGUGGUGAAAUGCGUAGAGAUCCGGAGGAACACCAAAGGCGAAGGCAGUGUCCUGGGGAGUACCUGACGCUCAGGUGCGAAAGCCAGGGGAGCGAACGGG
rnacentral:rRNA from 1 species